GAAUCAGCAUCGGCUAACUCCGUGCCAGCAGCCGCGGUAAGACGGAGGAUGCGAGCGUUAUCCGGAAUUAUUGGGCGUAAAGCGUCCGUAGGCGGUAAUUUAAGUCUGCCGUUAAAGACUACAGCUCAACUGUAGGAGAGCGGUGGAAACUGAAUUACUAGAGUGUGGUAGGGGUAGAGGGAAUUCCCAGUGUAGCGGUGAAAUGCGUAGAUAUUGGGAAGAACACCAGUGGCGAAGGCGCUCUACUGGGCCACAACUGACGCUGAGGGACGAAAGCUAGGGGAGCGAAAGGGAUUAGAUACCCCCUGUAGU
rnacentral:rRNA from 1 species